rnacentral:lncRNA from 1 species
AGUAGGAUGUUUGAGCUAUAGUUAUGGACUAAAUAAAUCUGGGGCCCGGGAGUGGCGUGAGGCGGAAUCUGAGGGGGUGUGGGUUGGUUUCUCAGUCUAACAAAAACUUCGUUUCCAGGGGGAUGGCAUCCACAUCUGCCAGGAGUGGGGACAAAAAGGACAUCAGGUCAUCUCAAGCUGCCGCCUCCUUAGGUGGAGGGCAGAAAGUCUCAUUAUCCUGCUCUGAAGAAUUCCUGACCCGAAUCAGCACAGAACUUACAGACGAAGCACUGUUUAUUGCUCGCUCCCGUUUGAGUCCUCUGCCCAAUAAGGAAAAGAACACAAAAGACCAAGGGACUCAGAUAUCUAGACAUGGUGAACGCUCUCCUUCUUCAUCUAGAGAGCAGUCCCUGACUCACUCCCAACCAUAGCUGCUUUCCCCAGGAAUCUUCUGCCUCCUUGCCCAUCCUAGGCACAGUGCCCCUUAACUUCUAACUCACUCAUUGUCACUACCCAGGAACCCCCUUGUCCCUACCUGCUCUAGCCACAACUCUUCUAAACAUGGGGAAAGUCGUUCCUUUAACUGGGGCCUCUAAUUCCAGUGUUCUUCACUAAGACCCGAGGCACUGACACCCGGUGAGUGAGGCUCUGUCCUUCUCCCAGGACAGAGGAGCCUGUGGGGAGAGAGCAAGGGUUGACAGCAUCCCAGCAGGGUAGGGGGAGUUUUCAACCAUGAAGUUCUAUUCUAUUCCCUCCUGAUGCUCCAGUUCCUGAUUCUCAGCCUAUUCUGUUGUCUUCUGUCAUCUCUAGCUCUGACAAAAAUCGAACCCGAACCAAGGCACACCUUCUGCCAUCUCCUCGUGAAAAGGGACCACUCCCCAACAGCCUGACAACUGGAGGAUGAGCUCGGCCCUCCCUAGUACUGCUCUCUCAGCUUCUUGCCUUCCCCCACUAUGUCCCUCAGUGAAAACCUCAAAGCCCCUCUUUUGCAACUAGCUAAGCCUCUCAUCUUGGGAGGAACUCCUGGUCAUAAGCAAUGCCACCUUUGAAACCAAGAAAAUCUUCUGGAACUGUCGCGGGGCCCUCCACCCUUCGUGGGCAAAUGCUACUGAGAAGAAAAGGUUUUAAUAAAGAACCAGGAUCCUCCCUUCCCCGAGAUGGUGGCAGUGUUCUGGAGGAGCUCCUGGCAGGGGGUGCCUUUCUUCUAGAGGGAGACAGUGCACGUCAGCAUUUCUCUAAAAUCCAGUUGUCAGACACCUGCUAGAGCCAAACCCACUGCCUGGUACCAUUUAACUAGCCCUUGCAUCCAGGAGGCCACUCUUGAUGGUCAGGAGAGCCUUUGCCUUGGGUUCUGAGGACCCUGGGCCUCUGCUUCUCCCUCUGAGCUUGUGGGGUCGCAUGGUUAAGAGAGCGUGUUGACUUGUUACCAGACAGAAGGUGAUGCAGGAAGCCCUGAGGGGUUUGUAUUUGCGGCCCUUGUGGUUCCUCGUUUGUUCCUCUGAGGAAGUCCAUUCACCUCUUUCAGCCUUCCUUUCCUUACCUGAACACUGAGUAGCCGGGCAGUGGUGGCACGCACACCCUUGAUCUCAGCACUAGGGAGGCAGAAGCAGGUAGAUCUCUGUGAGUUCGAGGUCAACUUGGUCUAAAGAAUGAGUUCUAGGACAGCUAGAGCUACACAGAGAAACCCUGUCUCAAAAAACCCAAACAAACAAACAAACAAACAACCCCAAAACUGUAAGUAAUAAAUUAUCCCAGGUUCCCAAGUUCCUUACAAGGAUUAAAAAAACAACGGAAGGUGGGUUAUCCCUCUUAAUUCUGAAUAAUCUCAGCACUCAGUAGGCAGAGGCAGGAAGAUUGCUUCCAAUUCAUAGUAUCAAGCCAGUGUGGACUACACAGUGAUGUCCUGUCUCAAAAACAGAAGAAAAAACAAAAACAAAAACAAAACAACUAGAAUCCUACCCACUCAACAGGCUCCUGCUGGAUCCCAGGAGGAUCUGGGGUUCAAGACCAACCUGGACACAUAAGGCCCCAUCUCAAAAACAAAAGUAUUCAAUACAAAAGCUGUC